UGCUUCCUACGGGGGGCAGCAGUGAGGAAUACUGGUCAAUGGGCGCGAGCCUGAACCAGCCAAGUCGCGUGAGGGAAGACGGUCCUAUGGAUUGUAAACCUCUUUUGCCGGGGAGCAAGCUGAGUCACGUGUGGCUCAGCUGAGAGUACCCGGAGAAAAAGCAUCGGCUAACUCCGUGCCAGCAGCCGCGGUAAUACGGAGGAUGCGAGCGUUAUCCGGAUUUAUUGGGUUUAAAGGGUGCGUAGGCGGACUGUCAAGUC
rnacentral:rRNA from 1 species